rnacentral:misc_RNA from 1 species
UACGUAGGUGGCAAGCGUUGUCCGGAAUUAUUGGGCGUAAAGCGCAUGCAGGCGGCGUGUUAAGCCAGAUGUGAAAGCCCGGGGCUCAACCGUGGAGGGUCAUUGGAAACUGGGAGACUUGAGUACAGAAGAGGAGAGUGGAAUUCCACGUGUAGCGGUGAAAUGCGUAGAGAUGUGGAGGAACACCAGUGGCGAAGGCGACUCUCUGGUCUGUAACUGACGCUGAGGCGCGAAAGCGUGGGGAGCAAACAGG